rnacentral:rRNA from 1 species
CCGGCCCGGACGAAACGGCCGGUAAUUAACUACCGCAUACCGUACCGUAGGGUAGAAGGCGGGGGACCGUAAGGCCUUGCGCUAUUGGAGCGGCCGAUGUCAGAUUAGGUAGUUGGUGGGGUAAAGGCCUACCAAGCCUUCGAUCUGUAGCUGGUCUGAGAGGACGACCAGCCACACUGGGACUGAGACACGGCCCAGACUCCUACGGGAGGCAGCAGUGGGGAAUUUUGGACAAUGGGCGAAAGCCUGAUCCAGCCAUGCCGCGUGCGGGAAGAAGGCCUUCGGGUUGUAAACCGCUUUUGUCAGGGAAGAAACGCUCUGGGCUAAUACCCUGGGGUAAUGACGGUACCUGAAGAAUAAGCACCGGCUAACUACGUG